rnacentral:siRNA from 1 species
AUCUGCUCUUGUGUGUUUAGGGA